rnacentral:rRNA from 1 species
UACGUAGGUGGCAAGGGUUGUCCGGAUUUAUUGGGUUUAAAGGGUGCGUAGGCGGUCCUAUAAGUCAGUGCCGAAAUAUCCCGGCUUAACCGGGAGGGUGGCAUUGAUACUGCAGGACUUGAGUAAAGUUGAGGUAGGCGGAAUUGACGGUGUAGCGGUGAAAUGCUUAGAUAUCGUCAAGAACACCAAUAGUGUAGACAGCUUACUAAGCUUUAACUGACGCUGAGGCACGAAAGUGUGGGGAUCAAACAGG